rnacentral:lncRNA from 10 species
CAUGAAGCCUUCUCAAAUUCCAACAGUUACAGUUAAGGUCUUCAGUCUCAGUGUUCUCUUAGCACAAUGAGAACACUUUUUACUAGGCAGAGACUGCAUCUCAUUCAUCUUGCUACAUGCCUGGUGUCUAACACAACACCUUGCUCAAAGAAGAGAAGUAUUGAAUUGACACACUGAAUUUACAACAUCUUCAGUAUUAACAGAGAGAGCAAAAGAGAAAUCUGUUGGCAGUACAGUGCUUGCCACAUUCCUGUUGCUAAGCAAAGGGAAGCUAGGGAGAAGAGGAAAAGCGAAGGUCUGUGAAUCAGGGGCAGUAAAAUUCUAAUCAACUCUUGGUGUUAUGCUUGGCUGACUUUCUAGAGAAGGAAAGGCAGCAGUCUGCAUUGGUAUAUCCAAAGGCUCAGGAAUGUAGUCCCAGUAUUCACAAAGGAAAACGCUUCCACUGU